UACGAAGGGGGCUAGCGUUGCUCGGAAUCACUGGGCGUAAAGGGUGCGUAGGCGGGUCUUUAAGUCCGGGGGGAAAUCCUGGAGCUCAACUCCAGAACUGCCUUUGAUACUGAAGAUCUUGAGUCCGGGAGAGGUGAGUGGAACUGCGAGUGUAGAGGUGAAAUUCGUAGAUAUUCGCAAGAACACCAGUGGCGAAGGCGGCUCACUGGCCCGGUACUGACGCUGAGGCACGAAAGCGUGGGGAGCAAACAGG
rnacentral:rRNA from 1 species